rnacentral:rRNA from 1 species
CAGGGGUACUCGAGUGGCGAACGGGUGAGUAACACGUGGGUGAUCUGCCCUGCACUUCGGGGUAAGCCUGGGAAACUGGGUCUAAUACCGGAUAGGAGCCAUUUUUAGUGUGAUGGUUGGAAAGUUUUUUCGGUGUAGGAUGAGCUCGCGGCCUAUCAGCUUGUUGGUGGGGUAAUGGCCUACCAAGGCGGCGACGGGUAGCCGGCCUGAGAGGGUGGACGGCCACAUUGGGACUGAGAUACGGCCCAG